rnacentral:rRNA from 1 species
UACCAGCACCCCGAUGUGCGGGACGAUUAUUGGGCCUAAAGCAUCCGUAGCCGGUCAUGCAAGUCCUCCGUUAAAUCCAGCCGCUCAACGGUUGGGCUGCGGAGGAUACUACGUGGCUAGGAGGCGGGAGAGGCAAGCGGUACUCAGUGGGUAGGGGUAAAAUCCUUUGAUCCAUUGAAGACCACCAGUGGCGAAGGCGGCUUGCCAGAACGCGCUCGACGGUGAGGGAUGAAAGCUGGGG